UGGGGUGCAAGCCCGACCUCGGACCAAAAAUGACAACAGCUGCAGAGCGCGAAAUUCAAAAUCUAUUUUUUUAAAAUAUUUAACUUUUACACAUUAACAAGUCCAAUACAGCAUUUGAAAGAUAAACAUCUUGUCAAUCCAGCCAACAUGUCCGAUUUUUUAAAUGUUUUACAGAGAAAACACCACAUAUAUUUAUGUUAGCUCACCACCAAAUACAAAAGUGGACAGACACGUAUGAAUUAUGAUUAUGAAGUAUGAAUUAUGAUUGAAGUAGCAUGCACAACCAACCGAAAUAAACUAAAACCAACCUAAAGAGCCCAGAAAAAACGACCUCAGAUGACAGUCAUAUAACAUGUUACACAAUAAAUCUAUGUUUUGUUCAUAAAAAGUGCAUAUUUUAGCUAUAAAUCUGUUUUACAUUGAUGCUACCCAAAAAUGCUAACACAUAGCUAGAGUCUGAAUCCAGCCGGGAGUAGCCAGAGAAAAUACAUACACCAACGUCGGCUACUAAUUACACCUCAUAAAACAUUUCAGAAAAACAUAUGGUGGAUAACUAAUGAAAGACAGAUAUCUUGUGAAUACAGACAACAUUUCCGAUUUUUGAAGUGUUUUACAGCGAAAACACAAUAUAUCGUUAUAUUAGCUAACAUCAUAAGCUAGCAUAAGGCAGCAUUGAUUCUAGUCAAGCGCUAGCCUAGCAUAGUUAGCAGCGUUAGCAUUCAACAGUUCGACAUAUAUAUGAAAAAGCAUCCCAAAUUGGGUCUUAUCUUUCUUGGUACUCCAUCAGAAUGUUGUAACGGGGUCCAAUGUCCAGUAGAGUCUUUAGUUGGGUUCCAGAACGAAGGAUUCCCCUCUUUGGUUAGCUAGCACGGUAGCAUUGCUGCGCCAGAAAGCGUUUCUUCAAAAAAUUCUUCCGUCGUUUCACAUCUAAAGUCCAGAAUAAAUUGCAAUAAUAUAAUUAAAGUAUAUUGAAAAAACAACCUUUAGGAUGAUUUUGUGACAUGUAGCAAAUAAUAUCGUAGUCAGGCAUCAUAUUCAAAGUUACCUACCUUGUUCCAGAAGCCGAGAUCAAAUUAUCCUUCGCGCCCGGAUUUUUAUUUUAACUGCGCAUGUCUCACAAGAAGUUCUGUUAUUCAGUCCAGGGACGAGAUAUUCGACCCCUUUCAAUUCUCACUUCCGCAUUACAGUCUGAGGUACGCCUCUGACGUGUCCGUAUGGUCCUAAGUCAAACGGCCUUUUAUAGAGAAGGUCUUAAAGAGACACAUCGCAUUUUGGGAAACUCAAUUCGGCUGGGAAAAUGGCUGUAAAAAUAUUUCUGUUUGACUUAGAGAAACAAUUCAAACCUUUUUAGAAACUACAGACUGUUAUCUAUCCAACAGUAGUAAAUAUAUGCAUAUUGGAAAAUAAAAAGUUUCUUAGGAGGCCGUUUGAAAAUGUGCACACAUUUUCCAGUUUUUUCAAUAUUCAGCGUGCAGCCAUAACAGGUUAUACCCUGCGCGGAGAUACAGUGAACCCGUAUAUACGAACAUUGCAUUUACCAUUUAUCGCUUGAGUUUAAUUAAAAUACUUAAAAUAUAUUCGGUGACUCUGAAUCACAUUUUGUCCUGAUACCAGAUUUGAACUGACGCAAAUCAUUUUCAAUAGCGCCAGGCUGUAUGAAUUGGCUCCAAAAUAAUCCCUUGGUAAGCUACCAUCGGCUGUCCAAGGAACCACAAUUUUUGAAGAAGUGGCUCCAUGUCCCGAAGAGGAAGGACAUGCCAGCUUGAGCUAGUAGGAUGUGCAGACAGCACUUCGUGGAGUCAGACUUCGCGAUGAAGGGCACUUUCUAUGCGGCAACUGGGAGUUUCUGAAUGGAAAGGAGUCAUAGGCCUACCCUGAAGCCCUCUGCUUGCGCCUCCAUUUGACAUUAAGAGGGUUAUGGUGUAGUAGUUACCGACCGAUCAACAUCGCUGACUUUGGAGUCAAGCAAAAGCAACGGAACAGAGGAGGUGACGCGAGUCAAUGCAAUGCCAGGAGCCUGAGGAAAGAAUGGUUAGUACAGCAUGCCAAACUGACCCCUGUGUGCCAGAGUGUUCCUGUGCUGCGGUAGAGAAGAGGUCCACUGGGACCAGCACUAAAGAACUUGGGGCCCAGCUAGAUUGCGCUCACGACCAUCAGUAUACAACCGAGUCUGUAUACUGAUACUGAGUCCCCUAUACGCCACAGAUGGAGCUGACGGAGAGCGAGAUCAGUGAAGACCAAAACUCGCUGUAUGAACCUGAGAGCUCAGAAUCACAAUCAUCACAGAGCGAGCCAAGAUAUACUAUCAAUCACUUUGGGGGAGCGGGAUGGUGUUCUGAAAAUGGAGAAGGAGCAGGCCAUUCAACAGCCAAUUCAAAGAUACACCCAUCCAUAAAGGGAAUCGGAGUGGAAUUGUUUUUCCACAGAUUUUUUUUUACCCGUUUCAAUGGAUGUGCUACCUUGUCCCGGCCCUGCUGUUUCGACUCUCUCAACCUAUGAAUGCUCAGCUAUGAAAAGCCAACUGACAUUUGGUCCUGAGGUGUUGAACUGUUGCACCCUCUAUAAUCACUGUGGUUAUUAUUUUUGAUGCUAAAAGGGCUUUUGUAAAAUACAUUUGAAUGAUUGUCUGCUGUACUGGAUGCUGUGUAUUCACUAACUGUCUGAGUGAUGUGACAUUUAUAGUAUCUGUAACACAUUUUGGUGUGUAUUUAAUCUGCAUCUUAUUUUCUUAAAGUGGGAAUCAUCAGUAGAAACAAUAAAUCUCCCUGCUCCUUACUCGGUAAAAAGCUGAGGGAUGGGCCUGGAGAAAUGUAACCACUCUCAAAUUCAUAGACAGAGCUAUAGAUGCAAGGACUGACCGUCCAUGAUUUCAAAAUUGUAAUCCUGUUUCUGAUCUGUUUCCACCUCCAUGUACCCUGUUCGGUUUGGAUAAAGGCGCCUGCUAAAUGGCAUAUAUUAUUAAAGUCUCCUUUAACUCUGCCAACUAGUUGCCCAGUGUAGUUAACAUUCCUUUCCAAUAGAUGGCAGUCAAAGCUAGUUGAAGUCACUCUAGCGGCAAUGACAGGGAUUACUACGCACUGAAAGUAGUAAUCCCGAAAGUAGUCAUUUAUUUUUAAAGCAAGUUUAUCUGGUUACGCUUGAUCCUGUUGUUUAUAUUGGACAAGCUAACUAAUACUAUUUUUACAUAUGGAAGAAACGACACACGCUGGAAUGAAACGCCGUACACCUCGUCCAAUUCUCCCUUUUGCCCAUAGGGUGAACUGGAAAAAUCAUAAGAAAAGUUAGUCUGAUACCGAAACUAAAUCACAUAAUGAGCACGCCCCAUUAUUGGUUAGAAUGAGAUGUCAUGAAUCAUGAUGUCUGCGAUUCCAACCGGUCGUCUAAUCUAAAGGUAAAUGUGUUACCAUAGCGCCAAACAGCGCUGGUGAUAAACAUCUUUAUAGGGUACUGAUUAUGUAUAUUGAGCACCGACCCACUACAGAUAUUAACCUUAAACAAUUUAUAAUCAAGCUAAAUGUCACCAAUUAUUUAACUGGCAUAUCGGCUGCUGACUGGUCGAGAAACCUCUUCUGCCAGUAAGUACUUCAUAACGAUUAGUGACACGUCCAAUAAAUACAUCGCCAGACAUACAGGAACCUCUGACUGGAUGUAAUACAUCACCAUCCAGACAGACUGACAGGAACCUCUGACUGGAUGUAAUACAUCACCAUCCAGACAGACUGACAGGAACCUCUGACUGGAGGUAAUACAGCCACCAUCCAGACAGACUGACAGGAACCUCUGACUGGAGGUAAUACAUCACCAUCCGGACAGACUGACAGGAACCUCUGACUGGAUGUAAUACAUCACCAUCCAGACAGACUGACAGGAACCUCUGACUGGAUGUAAUACAUCACCAUCCAGACAGACUGACGGGAACCUCUGACUGGAUGUAAUACAUCACCAUCCAGACAGACUGACAGGAACCUCUGACUGGGUGUAAUACAUCACCAUCCAGACAGACUGACAGGAACCUCUGACUGGAGGUAAUACAGCCACCAUCCGCUGGGAUUUUGUGCUGUAUCGCAACCAAUUCAAGGGGCUUUAUUGGCAUGGGAAACGUGUUAACAUUGCCAAAAGCAAGUGAGGUAGAUAAUAUACAAAAGUGAAAUAAAAAAUAAAAAUGAACAGUAAACAUUACACAUACAGAAGUUUCAAAACAAAGACAUUACAAAUGUCAUUAUGUAUAUUUACAGUGUUGUAACAAUGUACAAAUGGUUAAGGUACACAAGGGAAAAUAAAUAAGCAUAAAUAUG